rnacentral:rRNA from 1 species
UACAGAGGUCUCAAGCGUUGUUCGGAUUCAUUGGGCGUAAAGGGUGCGUAGGCGGCGCGGUAAGUCGGGUGUGAAAUCUUGGAGCUUAACUCCGAAACUGCAUUCGAUACUGCCGUGCUUGAGGACUGGAGAGGAGACUGGAAUUUACGGUGUAGCGGUGAAAUGCGUAGAUAUCGUAAGGAAGACCAGUGGCGGAGGCGGGUCUCUGGACAGUUCCUGACGCUGAGGCCCGGAGGCCAGGGGAGCAAACGGG